UACGUAGGGUGCAAGCGUUAUCCGGAAUCACUGGGCGUAAAGCGUGCGUAGGUGGGAAUUUAAGUGAGAUGUGAAAUCGUGUGGCUCAACCAUAUCGUUGUAUCUCAUACUGGGUUCCUAGAGGACGGCGGAGGCAAGUGGAACUAGCAGUGUAGCAGUGAAAUGCGUAGAUAUUGCUAAGAACACCAAUGGCGAAGGCAGCUUGCUGGGCCACUCCUGACACUGAGGUACGAAAGCGUGGGGAGCGAACAGG
rnacentral:rRNA from 1 species